rnacentral:rRNA from 1 species
GAUGAACGCUGGCUACAGGCUUAACACAUGCAAGUCGAGGGGAAACGCCGGGGAAGCUUGCUUCCCCGGGCGUCGACCGGCGCACGGGUGAGUAACGCGUAUCCAACCUGCCUCUGACUGAGGGAUAACCCGUCGAAAGUCGGCCUAAUACCUCAUGGCAUCGUCUGCGGGCAUCCAACGACGAUUAAAGAUUUCAUCGUUCAUAGAUGGGGAUGCGUCUGAUUAGCUUGUUGGCGGGGUAACGGCCCACCAAGGCGACGAUCAGUAGGGGUUCUGAGAGGAAGGUCCCCCACAUUGGAACUGAGACACGGACCAAACUCCUACGGGAGGCAGCAGUGAGGAAUAUUGGUCAAGGGGCGAGAGCCUGAACCAGCCAAGUAGCGUGCAGGAGGACGGCCCUAUGGGUUGUAAACUGCUUUUAUGCGGGGAUAAAGUGAGGGACGUGUCCUUCAUUGAAGGUACCGAAUGAAUAAGGACCGGCUAAUUCCGUG